rnacentral:lncRNA from 1 species
AAGAGCUCGCCUGAUUUGUUUUAAAAAUAUACUCCCUCCGUUCGGAUCAAGUGUCGUGGUUUUAGUUCACGACACAUGAAUGCAUCCAUUCAUCCAUCCUUCUCAGGAGCUGCUCAUACCUGGCCUCGACCGACCAAACCUCCCGCACGGACGACGCAUCAGACGUCAUCCUACGGCCCCCAGCCCACGCCACAACCGAAUCCAAGCCAAUGGAAUGGCGGUGGCUGGCCGCACCGUAGCAGCGCUGGGUCAGCGAUCCGGCAACGAGAGCUUGGCUGAUUCGGUUUAGGAUUUACUGGUGUGAACUCUAAGCGCGCGCGCGCACAGAGUGAGCGAGUGUGUGAGAGUCUGAGAGAGAGAGAGAGAGAGAUGGGGGGACCGUACCGGAUCCAAAGCAAAACGCAGCCAAGCUGCGAGAAAUCCAUCGACGGCGGCUCAGAUCCCGCGCCGGCCCGACCAAGCCCUCGACCGCAGCGCGCCAUGGGCCCCGCCGCUCGGUCCCCAGCCCGCACGGCCGCAGACGCCUCCCGCAUCCAUCCAUCCUCUUUAAUUACUUGCCAGUCAUUUUUGCCUAUGUGUCAUGAAUGUUACUACUCCCUCUGUUCCAUAAUUCAGUUACUCCCACUAUGACUAGUCUCAGUCUCAGGAGCUGCCCAUACCUGGCCUCGACCGACCAAACAUCCUGGUGUGGACGACUCAUCAGACAACGCCUUACGGGACCCAGCCCACGCCACAACCAAAUCCAAGGCAAUGGAAUGGCAGUGGCUGGCAGCACCGUAGAGACAGGGAACUGACGUGGCAACCACCGGGACGAUGGGUCAGCGAGUCGGCAAUGAGAGCUUGACUGAUUUGUUUUAGGGGUUGAGAGAGAGAGAGGUGAGGAGGAUUCAUACCGAAUCCAAGACAAAAUGCAACUGAACCGAGCAUAUGUAGCGUAGCAAAACAAGGCUCAGUUUUGCAUUUCAUCUUCAAACCCAACACUCACAUCUCUUGCUGCAUAAUCCACCCAUUGCCAUGUAAGAGAACUGCCCUGGUUAUCACUCAUCAGAAUGACCAUCCAAGGCAAAGAACAUCCAACAUUGGCAAUGAAUUUGACAGGCUGCAAGAGAGGCAAGGGUGGGCUCUAAGGCCAACUCCUUUUUUCUGGCACUGUUUAGUCCCACCUCGCCGAGCUGUCUUGAUUGCUCAAGACAUGAUUAUUUCAACCAGUCAUCAUCAUCGGCAUCGCCCCUCCUUUUUUUCCAAAAAGGAGGUUGAACCCCCGAGCAACAUGACCAUGAUAUCCAUACAUAUAUGCAUGCAUACAUCCAUCUAUCCAUCCAUCCUGCUCAGGAGUUGCUCAUACCUGGCCUAGACCGACCAAAACUCCGGCUCCAACGACGCAUCAGACAACACCGUAAGGUUCCCAGCCCAUACGCACAACCGAAUCCAAGGCAAUUGGACGGCGGUGGUAGCGGUGGGGAACUGACGCGGCGGACAUCCGGAAAAUAGGUCAGCAAUCCGGCAACGAGAGCUCGCCUGAUUUGUUUUAAAAAUAUAAUCCGGCAACGACACAUGAAUGCAUCCAUUCAUCCAUCCUUGUCAGGAGCUGCUCAUACCUGGCCUCGACCGACCAAACCUCCCGCAUCAGACAUCAUCCUACGGCUCCCAGCCCACGCCACAACCGAAUCCAAGGCAAUGGAAUGGCGGUGGCUGGCGGCACCGUAGCAGCGCUGGGGAACUGAGGCGGCAACGAGAGCUCGGCUGAUUCGGUUUAGGAUUUACUGGUGUGAACUCUAGGCGCGCGCGCGCACAGAGUGAGCGAGUGUGUGUGAGAGUCUGAGAGAGAGAGAGAGAGAGAGAGAGAGAGAGAGAGAGUGAGAGAGAGAGGGAGAUGGGGGGACCGUACCGGAUCCAAAGCGAAACGCAGCCAAGCUGCGAGAAAUCCAUCGACGGCGGCUCAGAUCCCGCGCCGGCCAGACCAGGCCCUUGACCGGAGCACCGCUCGGUCCCCAGCCCGCACGGCCGCGGACGCCCCCCGCAUCGGCGGCAGCCCCGAGGGGCCUCCAAGCCGAUGCGCGACGGCGCGGCGAGGGGGGCUGGCCCCGAGGAGCGGCGG